ACUUGUAUAAGGAUUAGUCGAUGUACAGUCAUCUUUAAGCCAGCUCUUCGAGAAGGCACUUUUUUCAGUUGGUGGUUUCCAAGAUGACUCGACCUGUGGUGUGGUUUUUAACUGCUUGCUGCUUUAUGACACUUGUACAGAGUAGCGUACGAUUGAGGCUUUGCGGAAAACAAAUUUCUGAAGCCAUAGAGCUGCUUUGUAAGGCCAAGUAUGAUGGGCCGACUUGGACAGAGAAAACAAAUGAUAGGAGGUUCAAACGCAAUAUUAUAGAGGAUUGCUGCAUACGUCGUCGUUGUACAAUGGCAGACUUGGAACUCUUCUGUGAUAAUGAAAGUUAAGCGCUGGCAGAGUCAAGUACAGAUGCAGUUAGGAAGUGAGGAUAUUGGAAUGGAGAACUGAAAACGUAUUUCGAUGUUUCAAACACUUGUAGGUACCAGCUUAAAAAAGGUCAAAAAGCUAGAAGAAAUCAAGAAACAACUCCAACAAACAUUUU